rnacentral:rRNA from 1 species
GUGGGGAAUUUUGCGCAAUGGGCGCAAGCCUGACGCAGCGACGCCGCGUGCGGGAGGAAGGCCCUCGGGCCGUAAACCGCUUUCGGCAGGGAAGAACAUUGACUGUACCUGCAGAAGAAGCCCCGGCUAACUACGUGCCAGCAGCCGCGGUAACACGUAGGGGGCGAGCGUUGUCCGGAUUCAUUGGGCGUAAAGGGCGCGCAGGCGGCCCGGCAAGCGAGGCCUCUAAGCCCGGGGCUCAACCCCGGGACGGGCCCCGAACUUCCGGGCUCGAGCGCGGCAGGGGAGGACGGAAUUCCCGGUGUAGCGGUGGAAUGCGCAGAUAUCGGGAAGAACGCCGACGGCGAAGGCAGUCCUCUGGGCCGCGGCUGACGCUGAGGCGCGAAAGCCGGGGGAGCGAACAGGAUUAGAAACCCGAGUAGUCC